rnacentral:rRNA from 1 species
GACGAACGCUGGCGGCGUGCUUAACACAUGCAAGUCGAACGGUGAAGCAGAGCUUGCUCUGUGGAUCAGUGGCGAACGGGUGAGUAACACGUGAGUAACCUGCCCUUGACUCUGGGAUAAGCGUUGGAAACGACGUCUAAUACCGGAUACGAGCUGAGACCGCAUGGUCAUCAGUUGGAAAGAUUUUUUGGUCAAGGAUGGACUCGCGGCCUAUCGGCUUGUUGGUGAGGUAAUGGCUCACCAAGGCGACGACGGGUAGCCGGCCUGAGAGGGUGACCGGCCACACUGGGACUGAGACACGGCCCAGACUCCUACGGGAGGCAGCAGUGGGGAAUAUUGCACAAUGGGCGCAAGCCUGAUGCAGCAACGCCGCGUGAGGGAUGACGGCCUUCGGGUUGUAAACCUCUUUUAGUAGGGAAGAAGCGAAAGUGACGGUACCUGCAGAAAAAGCACCGGCUAACUACGUG